GGGUUGUGAGGUUAAGCGACUAAGCGUACACGGUGGAUGCCCUGGCAGUCAGAGGCGAUGAAGGACGUGCUAAUCUGCGAAAGCGUCGGUAAGGUGAUAAUGAACCGUUAUAACCGGCGAUGUCCGAAUGGGGAAACCCAGUGCAAUUCGUUGCACUAUCGUUAACUGAAUACAUAGGUUAACGAGCGAACCGGGGAACUG
rnacentral:rRNA from 1 species